rnacentral:rRNA from 1 species
UAGAUACCCUGGUAGUCCACGCCCUAAACGAUGUCAAUUAGCUGUUGGGGUACUAGAUGCCUUAGUAGCGAAGCUAACGCGUGAAAUUGACCGCCUGGGGAGUACGGUCGCAAGAUUAAAACUCAAAGGAAUUGACGGGGACCCGCACAAGCGGUGGAUGAUGUGGAUUAAUUCGAUGCAACGCGAAGAACCUUACCUGGUCUUGACAUGUACGGAAUCUCUCAGAGACGGGAGAGUGCCUUCGGGAGCC